rnacentral:rRNA from 1 species
UACGUAGGGGGCAAGCGUUGUCCGGAUUUAUUGGGCGUAAAGAGCGUGUAGGCGGCCAUGCAGGUCCGUUGUGAAAACUGGAGGCUUAACCUCCAGACGUCGAUGGAAACCGUAUGGCUAGAGUCCGGAAGAGGAGAGUGGAAUUCCUGGUGUAGCGGUGAAAUGCGCAGAUAUCAGGAAGAACACCAACGGCGAAGGCAGCUCGCUGGGACGGUACUGACGCUGAGACGCGAAAGCGUGGGGAGCGAACAGG